rnacentral:rRNA from 1 species
GACGAACGCUGGCGGCGUGCUUAACACAUGCAAGUCGAACGCUGAAGCUUGGUGCUUGCACUGGGUGGAUGAGUGGCGCACGGGUGAGUAAUACGUGAGUAACCUGCCCUUGACUCUGGGAUAAGCCUGGGAAACUGGGUCUAAUACUGGAUACGACAUGUCACCGCAUGGUGGUGUGUGGAAAGGGGUUUUCUGGUUUUGGAUGGGCUCACGGCCUAUCAGCUUGUUGGUGGGGUAAUGGCUCCCCAAGGCGACGACGGGUAGCCGGCCUGAGAGGGUGACCGGCCACACUGGGCCUGAGACACGGCCCAGACUCCUACGGGAGGCAGCAGGGGGGAAUAUUGCACAAUGGGCGGAAGCCUGAUGCGGCGACGCCGCGUGAGGGAUGACGGCCUUCGGGUUGUAAACCUCUUUCAGCGCGGAAGAAGCGAAAGUGACGGUACGUGCAGAAGAAGCGCCGGCUAACUACGUG